GGAGAGAUGACCGAGAGGCCGAUGGUAGCGCAUUGCUAAUGCGCCGUAGUCCAAAAGAUUACCGAGGGUUCGAAUCCCUCUCUCUCCG
rnacentral:tRNA from 1 species